CCACUAUCCACAAUCCACGAUCCAUGAUCCUGGGAUGACCUCUCUGUACACCUCGCUGUCUUCUAAUGGGAACUUUCAGACGCCACUCAGUGGAGAGCUCACCGAUCAUGGCCAAGUGUAAAGGAACUCCUCAAAAGAAAUUGGUCUACGGUGUUCUGUUUUAUUGUGUCCAGUGACAAUUUUGAUAUCACGUUAACCCUGGCUUCGUAGAACGAGUUUGACGGUGUUCAUUUCUUUCCGUCUGAUGGAGCUGCUUGAGGAACAUUGGUGUGAGGUAUUCUUCAAAGGUGCAGCAGAAUUCAGCAAUAAAUUCUAUACAUGAGCUUACAUGA